AGUGGAAGAUUGUUCAGCCAAGCCUUAUGAGGAACGGUUAAGAGAACUGGGUAUGUUUAGUCUGGGAAACAGGAGACUGAGAGGAGCUGUGAUAGCCAAAUAUCUAAAGGGCUGUCACAUGGAAGAUGGUGCAAACUUGUUUUCUCCUGCUUCGGAGGACCAAUGGCUUCAAGUUGCAAGAAAGGAGAUUCUGACUAAGCAUCAGGAAGAACUUUCUGACAGUAAGAGCUGUUCGACAGUGGAACGGUCUCCCUCGAAAGAUGGUGGAGUUUUUAAAACAGAAGUUGGAUGGAUGGCUAUCUGUCAUGGAUGCUUCAGCUGAGUUUCUUGCAUUGCAGGGGACUGGCCUAGAUGAUCCUUGAUGUCCUUUCCAGCUGUGAUUCUAAAAUUCAGCUUCCUGUCUGGCCAACUUCCCUACCUGGUAUGGGAGGUGGGGGAGGAGCAGAAUAAUCCUUAGUUUCAGGCAGCACAUCUGGGGCUAACCCUGGACUUAAGAUCUGAUGAGGCACUGGUGGAGGAAGAGGAGUGGGGGGGAGCGCACCACCCCCGGAAGCACAAUCCCGGUGGGGUGCCAUCGUGGCUGCCACGCCCCCGCAGGCGGCGCACCACGCCCCCAGGACGUGCGCCAGCCCCGCCCCCACCUGCUCUCCACCCCCCGGUGCCAGAGCAUGAAGCUCCACCACUGUGAGGAGGCCUUCUUUGUGAGCCCAUCACUGAGUGAAGUACAGUAGUACCUCAGGUUAAGAACUUAAUUCGUUCUGGAGGUCUGUUCUUAACCUGAAACUGUUCUUAACCUGAAGCACCACUUUAGCUAAUGGGGCCUCCCACUGCCGCCACGCGAUUUCUGUUCUCAUCCUGAAGCAAAGUUCUUAAGCUGAGGCACUGUUUCUGGGUUAGCAGAGUCUGUAACCUAAAGUGUCUGUAACCUGAAGUGUCUGUAACCCGAGGUAUAUGUAAAGGUAAAGGGACCCCUGACCAUUAGGUCCAGUCGUGACCAACUCUGGGGUUGCGGCGCUCAUCUCGCUUUACUGGCCGAGGGAGCCGGCGUACAACUUCCGGGUCAUGUGGCCAGCAUGACUAAGCCACUUCUGGCGAACCAGAGCAGCUCACGGAAACGCUGUUUACCUUCCCACCGGAGCGGUACCUAUUUAUCUACUUGCACUUUGACGUGCUUUCGAACUGCUAGGUUGGCAGGAGCAGGGACCGAGCAACAAGAGCUCACCCCGUCACGGGGAUUCAAACCGCCGACCUUCUGAUCAGCAAGUCCUAGGCUCUGUGGUUUAACCCACAGCGCCACCCGCGUCCCUUGUAACCCGAGGUACCACUGUACAUAUUGCAGUGACAUAGGGAAAUAUCAGUGCUAUUCUUCUAGAAAAAGAGGUGACAUUGUCCAUGUUUUCUGGGGCUGAUGAAAGGCCACAGGGGCCCAAUUCCUGUUAAAGAAGGUUAUGCGUGUUUGUACACAAUUAUGAGAUCCUGCUAAUCCAUUCCACAUGCAAGCUCUGAUUUGGGAAUUUUGUUUGACAUUCCCAUACAUACUAGAUGACAGUCUCCUUCAUAGGCAUGACGUCUGCCUUCUGUCUGCCUAAUUCUGUUUGUGCAGUGGCACAAACCGAGGCUUACGCCACAGCAGCUAAGAAAACAUUCCCUGAAUGGCCAGUGGAGGUAGACCCAACCUGUUAUCAUGUUGCCUACACAAAUGUGUCCCAGGGCCUUUGUGACACCAGUCUUAGGGACUUUCCAGCAGAUGGUUUUUAGCCUUACACAU
rnacentral:lncRNA from 1 species